AUGUGCCUACGGGGGGCAGCACUGGGGAAUAUUGGGCAAUGGGCGCAAGCCUGACCCAGCAACGCCGCGUGAAGGAAGAAGGCUUUCGGGUUGUAAACUUCUUUUCUCAGGGACGAAGCAAGUGACGGUACCUGAGGAAUAAGCCACGGCUAACUACGUGCCAGCAGCCGCGGUAAUACGUAGGUGGCAAGCGUUAUCCGGAUUUACUGGGUGUAAAGGGCGUGUAGGCGGGGACGCCAG
rnacentral:rRNA from 1 species